UCUGUUCCCGAGCGCCACCCUCCAUCCUCACCCGAUCUCCCCUCGCCGUCGUAACCCAAGAUCACCACGCCUCCGCCUGGUUCGCCCGCCGCCAGGCCCCCUCUCGCGUACGACCUCGCGGCGUCGCAGACCGCCUCUUCUCCCUUACCACGCCGCCAAGCAUACUUGGAAUCAGCUGAUGCGGCCUUCUUCUCCACCGCGCAUGUAUGUGGGGAUCCCCCUUGAUCCCGGCGGCAUGGCCAGAGACGAAGGCAACCCUCAGGCUCGCCCGCGUCGCUGCCUGGCUUGGGGCCAGAUCGUCGGCUGCGGGGUUUAGAUCGAGGGGCUGCGUGGCCAGAUCGUCGGCUGAGGGCCGCGCCGCCUAGGUAUGCCUCCAUGGGCUCAGCUAUACUAUCAACCGUUGUUGCUUAUUAUGUUGCUGUCGCUACAUACAUGCUGCAGCCGUGCGGCAUGGGCCGAUAUGAGCUUCUUUGCUUUGGAUUGGAGAUUGGGAUUUAGGACUUGUGAAUCUGCCGUUGUGCUACGGCUGGUUGGCAUUCUGGACUGGGAAGUAUGGAAUCAGAGAUAGAGGGUUGCUACCUCUCCCUACUGGAAUUUGCUAUCAAGAAGUUGCCAAGGUGUGAGGCAUCAAACUGUCGCUGAGGUCUAAACACUCUUGGUUCCAACAAGGCUAACAGCAAGAUCGGCAGCGGUGUCCACAGCACCAGUGGCUACCUAGCUCAGAGCUAUUGGUUGACAGGCGGCUUCAUCUGCUCGCAAGUUCUGGUCCUUAAGUUGUUGAGUGACCAUGUAUCAGAGGACACGCAACAACACACUUCCCUAUCUUGUCGAUGAACACCGGAAUAGGAGUAACACAUAAUGUCAGCUUGCAGAUUUUGCACUAGGAGUGGCAUCAAUACAUAUUUGGAGAGGCUAAGUUGGUCUCCUUCCAGCCCUUAUAUCCAGUGUGCCAGCUCGGGGACUCACACCAAGAUAAGUCUGCGAGGAAACAUAGGGAUGAUCUCUGGAAUCCAUUGCCUCUUAACUGUCUCCCACUGACACAGCCGCUGCCGAGGUUUGCCGCCUACACUGUCCUUCCCUCUCCAACCAGAUAGCCACCGUCCCGUAGGCUGAUUGGCCGUUGGUGUGCCGCUCAGGAGGUGAGUAUGUCUUCAAGAUGAGUCCUUAGAACAAUAUAUCCAUCUAAUAUGUGGUAUGAUCUUCCGAGCUGCUUUGAGCAGAACGUUUAUAUAUUUUGAAAAAAAUAUUUGUUUGAUUAUUUUGAUAUGCAGUUUCCUAAUUUCUAAUCAAUAGAAAUUCUAAUGCUGAUAAAAAUUAUCAUAUUAAGUUUCAGAAAAGCAAGAAGCCUUUCAAUCUACAGUCAUUAAUUAUUCAUAGUAAAGAUGAAAGGAAAUAUUGUUAUAUAUUUUUAAAAUGUUAGUAUUUCUUUGUUCGUUUUGAUAUGUUAUUUCCUAAUUUCUAAUCAAUGGUGAUUCUGCUAUUAUUUCUUAUAAAUGAUUACUGAUGAGCUUACAAAUUAAUUUUCAUUAGCAAAAUCACAUGCCUAGAGUCUCCUAUGUGUUGGGAUAUUUUCUGAAGAAUGAUGCCGGAAGAUGCUAAAAGUAACUAUAAGAAUUACCUCUCUCGCACCGCAUUUCUUGUUCGCAAAGUAUUCUGACAAAGGAUUGGUCAAUGUGCUAUGGAUCCAUUUGACAUUAUCUUUUUACAAGUGCAACCUAACUCAAACUCAGUCUCAGCUAGCUAACUACAGCAGCACUGAUAGUGGUUAACUACCGUUGCUGUUGCUGGUAGUGGUAGUGGUGGUUCGGAGUUGGCUAAGCCUGGAGCUGGUGGCGUCCCCAAAUGUAUUCUUGGGAUAAGAUGGGAUUAUCUUUGUAUCAUCUGCAACAACAACAGCCAGCCAUGACAACGGUACGUGAAGUGUUCAAAUCCUUCGCAAUCAAAAUUAUCUACUUAACUAGCACCAAUUGACUUCACCAUUUACCAUGGUGGACUUGAGUGUUUCUGAACAGUCUGAUUUUUACCAACAAAUAUCCAUAAAUGCUAAAUAAUAUUUUCUUCGAAAGUCUAUUUAUUAGUUCUGAACACUUUGUUUCGGAUGAACAACCUUCUGUGGCAGUCAGGCAAAAUCAAGGCUUCUAUUUGUAAGAGCGUGAUUACGUAAUGAAGCAUGGGAUGACCCUGUUGAGAUUUUUAAUGCAAUUUUUGACAUGUAAAUGGUAUAAAAGAGGAUGCCCAGAAACCAUGGUGUUUGCAUUUGUUGCUAGAACAAUGGAUGACCCUCCAGCUUUUUGAGUUGAAACAAGGAGUUGGCAGAGUUCAGUAUGUCGAUUAAAUACACACGUAAAUACACGCAUUAGGAUUUUAGAAGUCGUGCCAUUCACUAAUUCUAGCAUUAUCUUAUCAGGAAAGCUCUUCUGGAUGUUCUAAGGAACUUACUAAAGACACCAGGGAAGAUAAUACUUUGGCCGAGGAUGUGAGAUGUUAUUUAUGGAUGAGUUAUGGGAAUGCCAUUCUACAAUAAAUGAGAAUGAAUAAGGUUCACAGAAAAUCGGGUAACUUUUAAAAGCAUUGAGAGAAGUUCAAAGCCUAUGAAACCACCGAUGCGGACAUACACAAAGAAGUUUGGAUUCGUUGAAAGAUCUAUAGAUGUGACACGGUACAGAGAUUACCGUGAGCUGAGAUCGGCCAUCACAUCCAUGUUUGGACUCUAGGGGAAGCUUGAGCAUCCUGCAAGUUCAGAUUGGAAGCUUGUUUAUGUUGACUACGGAAACGAUGUCCUUCUCGUCGGCGAUGACCAUGGGAGUAAGUAUCUUCAGCUCUACACUCAUUUAUUUAGUUACUAAUAUGCAUAGGUAGACCUUGUCCAUAGUGGGUGUUUAGGCCAAGUAUGCAGGUCACUGUAUACAUGCCUACAAGCCUCAUUUACUGUAUACAUCCACUUUAUCCUACAUAAUUAAGUUGUCAACAUAAGUAAAUGACUUCAGCUUUGUAGCUUCUAUCCCUUGUAUGGUUUCAGCAAGGCACAUACAGAUGUUUGUUGCAUAUCUGAAAUCAGUUAAUAUGUAAUUUUACUGUGAGAAUGCAUAGCAUAUCUAUGCAUCCGUGCCGUGGAGUUGGUGGCUAGCAAGGUUGAUAUACAAACUAAACGACAGGCUGUACAUUAAGAUCUUCUGGAAGAGGGAGCAAGACACAUCCUGAUAUUGAAACAACGGACUGAAAUCGCUUCUGGAUUUCCACUAAGACAAAUUAUAUGCAUUGAGGACUGCAGGUCGCUGGGUUGCAUAGUCUUGGCAGUUGCUUGCUGGAGUGACUCAGCCGAGCAACAUUACAUUAUGAGUUUUAAGGUUUCAAAAAUAUUCCCAAAAAAUUAUGGAUGUAGCUAACGAUGGUAUUCUACAAUCAUGCAAAACCUCAAUGAUAAAUACCUUAUACUUCGGGAUAGACCAAAAUGACAAGUUCUGACAAAUUUUCGGACUUUCAAAAUGUGUACUAUUCACUAUAUUAGAUGUUUAGAUCUACACAUUUGUCAUUUGUUAUAGCCCAAAAUAUAAGGUAUUUUGUAUUCGUAUUUUUUACAAUUGUAGGAUACAUCUGUAACUACUUGCAGUAACUACUUGCAGAUUUGUUUUCAGAUUUUGUUGAAACUUCAAACAGGGUUUUCGAAUUUUUCAAAAAGACUGAGCUACGUGAAGCUUGAGCCCCAAAACGCCACUUUUACUCUACCUUCCCAUGGGAGCUUCUGUUUCUUCUGACACAUAAGCAAUAGUGCCCUGUUUUAACAAGGCCAGUUUAUUUCUUACUUAUGAGCAAAUGUAUGUUUUCUUACCAUUACUCAACAUGAAAACAUGUGCAUAACCCAUCAUUUCGCUUAUCAAAAUAUUGCCUUUGAAAUUUUUAUGAGCUCCAUUAUGUGCAUCAUUUGAGAUGCAGCCUCCAGUCCAGUGGCUGAUGCACAGGUCUUGUCGGCAUGUCAGGUUGCUACUGCUUGCUAGCAUGAUUCAUACUCAACUCUGCUCGUACCGAAGUUUGGUGUGAUGAUGAACCACUUGGUCGAACAUGCAAUGUAUCUCUUCACUCUUCCGAACAUGAGCUUUACGGUCGCUACAGCAAACACCGGCAAGUCGGUCAACAGGUAUGCCGAGAAGACUGAGGACCUCCCGGUGUGGGAGAUCACGAGAGCCUAGAAAUGUGAAUUAGCUCCUCAUGUCGAGGCUAGCGGAGAAGGAUUGUCGGUGGCUGAGAACGAAAUAUUUUGUCUUACAUCGGGAUGAUGGCCUUGAGCCCUUGCCUAUGUUUGGUGACGCAUGCGUUUAGCAUGUUAUGUAAGUAGAGUGCUGACACAUCUGCGACCGGGAACUAUAUGUUUUUUUAUUCCUUGAUGAAAAUAUGUUUCUAAUGGUUCUCUGCUCGGACAGGCAUGUGGUUCAAUUUAGAAAAAAA